AAAAAAAGUUUAUUGUUUAUAGACUACAUAAGUCACGCUUUAGGUUGAAACAAGCUUCACGACAAUGGAUCUUAGAUUUUACUGAGUUCAAAGUUCAAACAUCAAGGAUCUAUGUCCCUUGGCCUUUUUUUUUUUCUUGGAUUGUAAGUGACAAGUUCUUUCAAGGACAUAUCAUCUUUCUUUUGAGGAAGUAGACACUGGAUCUAUUAGAAGAUGAUGCAUGCUCGUUUGACUUAUAAGUAAUUUUGUUCUCGUAUGUACAUGCAAUUCUUAGGCUAAUUAAGUCAGUUUUUUUUUUUCCAAGAUCAUAUAUAGUGAUGUUCAUUUUCUGUAUGCACACUGACUUCCGAAAUAUCACAAAGCUUAUUCAUGUACGUACGUAGUGUAAAUCGUACAUGACUACUUGUCUACUUUUACAGUUUUACCUUUUGGUUUACUCUCUUAAUUAGCUCGUUGUUCAUCGAGAUUUU